rnacentral:tRNA from 1 species
GCGGUCGUGGCGAAAUUGGCAGACGCGCCAGACUUAGGAUCUGGUUCCCGCGAGGGAGUGGAGGUUCAAGUCCUCUCGGCCGCACCA